rnacentral:ncRNA from 1 species
GAAUAGAGGCGCGGUCUUUAUGAUAAACGCGGAACGGGAUUAUUAAGUUCCGCGCGGGAAAGGAAAGAUCGCCGAAGACGGAAAUUUUAUCCCGAAAUUUUCGGUCUGGGCGUAAGCGGAAUACGUUUACGACUGUCGCAAGGUUAGCCCCUUGCGUUGCGCUAUU